AUGGCGGGGCAAUUGGUGUCUCCGGCGGAGGCGGCACGGGAGCUUAAUGCACCCGGGUGUACGCCGGCCGGCACCUCUGCAGCAAGCGGCCCCUCCGUCAACUGCACGCCCGCCGUUGGCAGUGCCUCGACAUUAGCCGAGCUCGACGCCAUCAUCACGGGCGCCGUCGACGUUCCGUGCACUCUCCUGCACUUCGUGAACAACGAGUUGGUCGAUGUCGCCAAGGGCAAAAUCGUUCAACCGGGCAACCCCUUGUUCCACGGUACCCAGAUGCCACCCAACUUGUUUAGGGUUCAACUGGUUCGGGUGCUGCCAGGCUGCGACGAGUUGUUACCUCCGAUUCGACCCGUCGGGGCCGACGAUGAUGAUGUGAUGACCCUCAGCGCUUGCCUGAGCUGGCCCCUGCUUUGGUCGAAGAGCCAGAUUCGUUUGGGGGCGGGGGACACCACCCCAAAGACAACACCGCCAGUCAUGCCGCCGCCAAGUCGGCCCCAUGGCAAGACCGCCGCAACGGUGCUGGACAUCCCUAUGCCACUGGAUCCAAACAUGCAUACGACACAGGAUCAGAACGAUGACGACGACGAUACAUUUGCCAACGUCGAUCAGUACUUUGCCGAUCAUGGGUACGGUGGCGACUUCAUGGGGCCUCCUUCUCAAGAACCCAACCCAACAAAAGACGUGCGCGAUCUAGCUGGUAUCGCAGAGAAGCCAAGUUGCAACAGGCGUCAUCUGCAGUUCAGCUCUCAGGAAACGCCUCCAGCUGCCGACUUCACCGAGCCUCAGAUAGGCGAGGUGCGAAAUAUGAUCAGCCCCAACACACUCAAGAAGGCGGUCUAUGAGCAGAACUCGGUCCCAUUACAGGAGAAGAAGAAGGCACACAAAAGAAAGACUAACAAGGGUGCGGUCCAGCUGGCACCGAGUAUGAUCCGUGCUCAGGACGGGCCACCUUCACCUGAGGAUAUCUCGAGGAGGGUGCAUGUGGCGGGUAGGCCAAUGCUACCGAGAAAUAUGCUCGAUGCUGCAACCGGUGCUAUGCGGAGUCUGCAUGACAGUGUUCUUUCUUUGGAGAAGCGGCGUCUCGGAGAGAAGGAUGUGGCAUACCCGGUUUUUGCGGCCAAGGUGCCUGAGGGCAAGGGCUUUGUGGAUAACUCCAUCGGGGGUACGAUCGUCCUGCGGUUUGAUGACAUCCAUGCUAUGUUGAACCUUCAUCCGCUGCACUACACCUUCGUUCGGCUAUUUUCGCUGAGUAUGGAGAUGCGGAUCAUUCGCGACAAGACCCCGGACAUCGUGAUAGUCGACCCCUUCUACAUGCGUGCCAAGAUCUUGGGCAGCGCUGGGGACCGGCAAGUCGCGAGUUCUUACCUCGAAGGCGUCAUUCUGGCAAACCAAGAUAAGGAUAACUUCCUCGUGCCUUACUUUCCUGAUGACACACGUUGCACGCUCAUCCUCCUAAGCCCCAAAUAUUCCAUGGCCAAGUAUUUCGACCCGGACCGUCAGUCGAACGUAGACUACACAAAUGUCAAGAAGGUUCUUGAUGAUGUUCUCCCCGACUACGUCAAAUCUGGAGGCACCUUCACCAGGCCUAUUCGUAAGUACGGCAAGCACGUGUUCUCCCACAAUACGACGUUCUGCUGCGUCAAGCAGCCGCCUGGCGGUCAGAAGGGUGCCUACUAUGCCAUCCAUCACAUGCGGGCGAUCGUACGGGACUAUCAUCAACUUCUGCUACCGAGUAGACUCAAAGAUUGGGCCACGAGCGUGUCGGCAAUCCAGGACGCGGACAUCAGACAAGAAUUCUUUCGCAUCCAGUCGGAGUUUGCGGAAAUCAUCCAUCAAGAUGUCCUUCGUACCUCGGGGCAGUUCUACCUCAGAAAUCAACCGUCCAACAGUGACAUCGACACAAUCCUACAAAUGCAGGCUGACAACGCCCAUUCUUUCAUGACUCCCACGAUAGACGGCGGCUUCAUCCACGCUCCGGUCCCUUGA
rnacentral:rRNA from 1 species